AGCCCAGGCUUAUACCUUGUUGUAAACACUCAUACGCAAAUUCGGAAUAAGAUCUUCUUUGCUCUCUUUUUUGAUUUCUUAUACUUUAUCGUUGUUAUUCUCGUGUUCUGAUUGCUUGACGUGUGGUAAUUAGCAGAUAUCGGGGUCCUCUAGGAAAUUAGGGUUUUUCUAGUUUCCUUAUUUAAACGGAAAUCGACAGUGCGAAUUUCGGUUCCCACAUGAAGCUAAAGAAGAUUAUAAAAGAACUUGAAGAAUCAGGCGAAAGAAAUGAUAGCGGUUAUCAUUUGGCUGAUGACAGAACCCUCCUACUGAACGUAAGGAUAACAGUACCUAUAGGAAAUGAGUUACAAGAAGAGAUCUUGAAAACCGCACACCACUCAGUAUUCAGUAUUCAUCCUGGAAGCACCAAGAUGUACCAGGGUGUACGUCGAAACUAUCCCUGGCCAGGAAUCAAAUGAUCAGUUGCUAAGUGGGUAGCUCAGUGCCAGACCUGCCAACAAGUUAAAGCUGACCAUCAAGUGCCAGGAGGAUUAUUGCAAAGCCUACCAAUCCCAGAACGGAAUUGGGAGUCAGUGGCUAUAGAUUUUGUAACAGGACUACCUCGAGCCCCAGGAAGAGGGAAUGAUAUUAUAUGGGUGGUGGUAGACCGACUAACUAAGACUGCUCACUUUCUACCAUUAGAAUUGUUGACAAGGUAGAAGUACUGGCAGAACUUUACUUAAAGGAGAUAGUACGAUUACAUGGAAUUUCUGCCAACAUAGUACCUGAUCGUGACCCAAGAUUUAAUGCUCAAUUUUGGAGAGCUUUCCAGCAAGUAUUGGGGACUGAUUUUCAUAUGAGUACGGCGUUUCACCCAGAAACUGAUGGGCAGACGGCGCGAACAAUCAGAACCUGGGAAGAUUUGUUAAGGAUGUGUGUUUUAGACUGGUCAGGUACAUGGGAACAAUACUUGCCUUUGGUAUAGUUUUCUUAUAACAACAGUUACCAUGCAAGUAUUGGGAUGUCCCAUUUUGAGGCAGUAUAUGGACGACCUUGCCGCCCACCACUGUGUUGGGCUGAAGUUGGAGAAAGACACCAUAUGUAGUAGAUGAAAUAACAGAAAAGAUAAAGAUUGUCCGGGAGAAUAUGAAGAAAGCUCAAGACAGGCAGAAGAAGUAUGCCGAUCAGAAUAGACGUGAAGUAAUAUUUCAAGUUGGUGAUCGGGUAUAUUUGAAGGUGGUUGCACAGAAAGGGAGAGAUAGAUUCGGAAAAUUGGGAAAGUUAGCCACUGGAUAUAUGGGACCAUACCGAAGUAGCCUAUCGAUUAGAGUUACUAUCAGAUAUGGCAAUUCACCCAGUUUUCCAUGUCUCGAUGUUAAGAAGGCAUAUACGAGAUCCUACCGAAGUAGAGCCGCAAAGAAUAGAAAACCUUCGUUCCAACCUCACUUACCCUGAAGGACCACUUCGAAUCGGAGAAAGACGAAUAAAAAACUGAAGAAUCGAGAGAUCCCUCAAGUGCAAGUAUUUUGGGGAAAACAGCGCAGAGUAAUUAUGACAUGGGAAGAAGAUGAGAGGUUUAGAGCAACUCAUCCUGAACUGUUUUAGGAAGAUGAAGAAGAUCAGAUGGGUGGAACAUCAAAACACUAAGAAUUCAGGAUGAAUUCUAUUGAGCGGAGGAGAAUGUAAUAACCCUCUUCAAAGAUUAAAACACAAACAAGGAAAAAUCAUGUAACAGCUGAGAAAAUUACUCAAGUAAGUGGAGGUCAGAUUGAUCUUUUCCCGUGGAUGAUUGUGGAUCCCAAGGUACAUAAGAAAAAUUUAGAAAGUCUUAGAAUAUUUUUUCAUCUAAAGAAUUAAAUUCUUCAAGAAAUUUAGUGGAUUGAAAAUGCUCGCGGUUCAGCCUAGAACGUCCUAGUCGGACAAGAAAUUAAUAGAAAAUUUAUUAUAGGGCCUUAAGAUAGGAAUUACCAUAGAAUUAUUUUAGAAAUGUUUUGGUAUAAGAAAUCUUGGUUUUUGUCAAGGAGAAAUAUUCCCGCCAGCUCAGAUCAACUUAUAACACGUUUGGGAUUUAAAUACGGCCCAUUCGGGGCCAUUAAUGAUGUGUUAAGCAUGUUUGGAAGCUUCCGGAAGAUGCAGCGGCUUGCUUACCUCCUUCAAGCAGCUGGACAUGUUCUUCUCCUUGACUGGACCACCUACAAAUAGUUCUUGUCUCAUUUCUAUUGGAUGCUUUGGUGGCUGGCCACAAAGCUGGGUUUUAUUGGCCAAAAUUGUGGCUAAGAUACCAAGCUGUCUCCUAUUGGUUGGCUUGGGAGGCAGAGACACCUCCUACUUGCCAUGCAAGACCAAAAUCUUCCCAUGAGCUCAUUCUCCAGCCUAUAAAUAGCAUACCACCCCCAUUAGUUCAUUCUCCACUUUUAAAACCGACCAUAGGCACCCAAGAGAACCCGAGAACACUUGAGCCUUAAGGUAACGUUUUGGUCUUUAGCUUUCUGUUUUUUUUUAAUUAGCUUUCUUUUCUUUCUUUUACUUUCAUAUCCUACCCUCUAUGUGACUAUAUUUCUAAAGUUCUAGAGUUUUCCCGAUAAAAGUUCAAAGUGAAGCCGACCGCGAGGUUUGAGUGUUUGCAGUUCGAAACUUUCUUCUAAGUGUCGAGAUUUGAUCCGUGAGGGUCCGACACUCGGGUGGAGUGCCAUGAGAGUCAUUGGUGUCCACUCUAGGCCUGUGCCUUUUCCGGGGCCUUACCAAAAUUAUUUUUGGGCCGACGCGAAGACACAGGUGACAGGGGUAGCUACCCUCGACCGUAUAGCUGCAUGACGAUGCGGCAAGUUUGUUAUCCGGGCCAUCGGCUUUUUAGACUUUGUGUUUAGAGUCAAUGAGCGCAAGAAGGGAUGUGUUAUGGACUUCGUAUCGAGAGAGGAACAAUUGGAAAGAGGCAGUCCUCGACGAUCGAUAAUGAUCUAACCACUCGUGAAGAGUGCAUGCUUGUUUACGUGAUUGCUUUAUUUUUGCAUUGCAUAUUUCUUAAUAUAAUUGAUCUUUGUUGCGUGAUGUUUGAUGCAUAAUGGGGGGAUAAAUAAUUGUUAGGAAACCCGACUCACUGAGCAAAAUAGUUGCUUAUAAGACUCUUUGUUUUGCAGGUAACCCGUAGUAGGUUCCAUUUGGAUCGGAGGAGCACAAAGCUGUUGAUGUAGAUUUUCUACCUUUUGCAAACAUAUACGUUUUGUAAUAUGUAAGAUAUAGUUUUGAAUAUCGGCCGAGCAUGUAAAAAGUUUUGAUGUGGUUGAACUUAAAGGAUAUAUGAAUAAGAAAAAGUUUGUGAAAUGCUUGGAUUCCAUAUGAUACUACUCCUAGUCCGGGACGAACUAACUAACGUUUUCAAACUUGGGUUGCAAAGCCUUAACUUGGAAUCGCUAGGAAACCCGUUCUUGGACAUAUGAUCUUGGGAUUUCGGAUCUGAUCCGGGAACCUCGGGUCAAAUGUUUGGGCACGUGGUAGUAGUAUCUUUGAUCUGGUUAGAUCUCUUUAGUUUGUCGUGCAUGUUCUUGUUUGAUUGGUGCAUGGCAAACUAAUUAACUUUUACUUAUUAUGGAGCUGGGGUGUUACAGGUCAUCCAAUGUCGGAUCAUACAACUUUGUUUUUGCUAUACGAAAAAAUAUUUUUUCGUAAAACCUGUUAUGUUUACUUUCGUAAGUUGCUUCGUAUGACUUGAUAUGAUUGUACGAUGGAAUUUUUGGGUAAGUAAAGGGCGACUGGUUUUAUGAAAGUAGUAAAUCUGUGGUAUGUAUGGACAUGUCAAAGUAGCGUUGUUUCUGCAGAUUUUGCUAGAAACAUUUAUGAUUUGAUUUUGAUUAUUGGUGAAAGUUUCUUGUAGUUACUUAUUGAGUGUUACCGAAGUUUAUUUUGCUACGAUCUAGUCGCAGAACGUUUUUUCUAGGCUUUUGAGAGGAUUCUCAUGAUAUAUUCGUUUCUGGAACGAAUUGGUUAACCAGCGGUAGAUCUAGUCAACGAGCGGGGAGAAUGCAUUCCCUUUGUUAUGGUCGCUGCUACUUUUAUUCUGAAUUUUUCUUUGUCGCAAAUGUUUUCGAUGCUUUUCUGUGACUCACUUGGUUCAACGGAAAUUGAAAGCAAUGCUUUGAUUCUUGAAGAUUGCUCGUAUAAUUUUUUUUAUUUUAUACGAAACUCGCUUUAUUAAGUCGAAAAGGUCUUCAAGACAUUGACUAAUCGUCGAGUUUCAGUUUUAUAUUUGUACAGGUUUUCAAAACGCAUGAUUGUGUAAAGAAAUUCGGUAAAUUCCUCGAGAUUGUUCGUGAUGGUUUGUGGGAACCGAAAUUCGCACUGUCGAUUUCCAUCUAAAUUAGGAAACUGUGGGAACCGAAAUCCGUUUAAAUAAGGAAACUAGGAAAACCCUAAUUUCCCAGAGGACCCGGAUAUCUGCUAAUUACCACACGUCAAGCAAUCAGAACACGAGAAUAACAACGAUAAAGUAUAAGAAAUCGAAAAAGA